UACGUAGGGUGCGAGCGUUAAUCGGAAUUACUGGGCGUAAAGGGCGCGUAGGCGGCCGAUCAAGUCAGGCGUGAAAUUCCCGGGCUCAACCUGGGGGCUGCGCUUGAUACUGAUUGGCUUGAAUGCGGGAGAGGAUAGUGGAAUUCCCAGUGUAGAGGUGAAAUUCGUAGAUAUUGGGAAGAACACCGGUGGCGAAGGCGGCUAUCUGGCCCGUAAUUGACGCUGAGGCGCGAAAGCGUGGGGAGCAAACAGG
rnacentral:rRNA from 1 species